rnacentral:rRNA from 1 species
GACGAACGCUGGCGGCGUGCUUAACACAUGCAAGUCGAACGGAAAGGCCCUGCUUUUGUGGGGUGCUCGAGUGGCGAACGGGUGAGUAACACGUGAGUAACCUGCCCUUGACUUUGGGAUAACUUCAGGAAACUGGGGCUAAUACCGGAUAGGAGCUCCUGCUGCAUGGUGGGGGUUGGAAAGUUUCGGCGGUUGGGGAUGGACUCGCGGCUUAUCAGCUUGUUGGUGGGGUAGUGGCUUACCAAGGCUUUGACGGGUAGCCGGCCUGAGAGGGUGACCGGCCACAUUAGGACUGAGAUACGGCCCAGACUCCUACGGGAGGCAGCAGUGGGGAAUAUUGCACAAUGGGCGGAAGCCUGAUGAAGAAACGCCGCGUGCGGGAUGACGGCCUUCGGGUUGUAAACCGCUUUCGCCUGUGACGAAGCGUGAGUGACGGUAAUGGGUAAAGAAGCACCGGCUAACUACGUG